UACGAAGGGGGCUAGCGUUGCUCGGAAUCACUGGGCGUAAAGGGUGCGUAGGCGGUCUUUAAGUCAGGGGUGAAAUCCUGGAGCUCAACUCCAGAACUGCCUUUGAUACUGAAGAUCUUGAGUUCGGGAGAGGUGAGUGGAACUGCGAGUGUAGAGGUGAAAUUCGUAGAUAUUCGCAAGAACACCAGUGGCGAAGGCGGCUCACUGGACCGGAACUGACGCUGAGGCGCGAAAGCGUGGGGAGCAAACAGGG
rnacentral:rRNA from 1 species